GUGCCCCCGGCAGCUGCUCAAACAGACAAGCUUGGCGGGGACUUUGGCCUCCUCUGGCUGCACGGAGGAAUAGGAUAUGGGGACAGUGCCUGUGUACCAGGGAGGAGGGGACUGCCCUUGUCCAGGAAUGACAGGCUCAGCUGGCUCCGGACCCUCGCCCUGCCCUCAGCCCUUCUGCCCACAGGCACAAGGAAAGCCUUCCUCUUGCCACACGGAGAGAUGGCCCAGCCGCCGGAUGCUUGUCUGUCUGGAUGCUUGUCCAUCAUCCCUGGAAAUCACUCCUGUCUCUCUCCGUGAUACCUCUGUGAAGUUUGCUCACCUUCCGGUGCUCUUACCAUAUCCCCACGUUUGGGGGAGGGAUUCACCAGGGUCCCCAGACACCCAAGGGGUUUGCAAAUAGAAUUCCGGAGCUCUUCCUUAGAAGGAAAAACGUGAAUAGCACUUGCUCACCCUUCUUCUACUCGUUGGAGCUGCCCUGUGCCUUCCUGUUUAAUGUGUUAAGAAAGGUGCUCACCUUCCA